rnacentral:rRNA from 1 species
GACGAACGCUGGCGGCGUGCUUAACACAUGCAAGUCGAGCGGAAAGGCCCUUUCGGGGGUACUCGAGCGGCGAACGGGUGAGUAACACGUGAGUAAUCUGCCCCUGGCUUUGGGAUAGCCACCGGAAACGGUGAUUAAUACCGGAUACGACCACUUCUCGCAAGGGAUGGGGGUGGAAAGUUUUUCGGCCAGGGAUGUGCUCGCGGCCUAUCAGCUUGAUGGUGAGGUAAUGGCUCACCAUGGCUUCGACGGGUAGCCGGCCUGAGAGGGUGACCGGUCACACUGGGACUGAGACACGGCCCAGACUCCUACGGGAGGCAGCAGUGGGGAAUAUUGGACAAUGGGCGGAAGCCUGAUCCAGCAACGCCGCGUGAGGGAUGACGGCCUUCGGGUUGUAAACCUCUUACAGCAGGGACGAAGCGCAAGUGACGGUACCUGCAGAAGAAGCACCGGCCAACUACGUGCCAGCCGCCGCCGUAA